GAUCCAGAUGUUCAGUACGCAUAGGGAC
rnacentral:piRNA from 1 species